UACGUAGGGAGCAAGCGUUGUCCGGAUUUACUGGGUGUAAAGGGUGCGUAGGCGGCUCUGCAAGUCAGGCGUGAAAUAUAUGGGCUUAACCCAUAGACUGCGUUUGAAACUGUGGAGCUUGAGUGAAGUAGAGGUAGGCGGAAUUCCCGGUGUAGCGGUGAAAUGCGUAGAGAUCGGGAGGAACACCAGUGGCGAAGGCGGCUUACUGGGCUUUAACUGACGCUGAGGCACGAAAGCAUGGGUAGCAAACAGGAUUAGAUACCCUGGUAGUCCAUGCCGUAAACGAUGAUUACUAGGUGUGGGGGGUCUGACCCCUUCCGUGCCGGAGUUAACACAAUAAGUAAUCCACCUGGGGAGUACGGCCGCAAGGUUGAA
rnacentral:rRNA from 1 species